CCGUCGGGAGAUGGGCAGAUGGCAAAGAGUGUUCAUACCUGCCUCACAGGGCUGCUACAGUGGGGAAGUAAACAGCACCUGUAAGGAUUCUUCCCGUGAGC